rnacentral:sRNA from 1 species
UAAAUAACAAGCAACAACAAAAUUCACUGCGCUGCGUAAUUAAUUAAAUAUUUUAUCAAAUUAAAGCCAAAUCGGUACAAAAAAGAUUACUCCCAGACUGUGUAACGGUGUUCAAUCGAUUGCCAAAGCUUAAGAGAGCCAUUGGAAG